rnacentral:rRNA from 1 species
CUACGGGCGGCAGCAGUGGGGAAUCUUGGACAAUGGGCGCAAGCCUGAUCCAGCCAUGCCGCGUGAGUGAAGAAGGUCUUCGGAUUGUAAAGCUCUUUUGCCAGGGACGAUAAUGACGGUACCUGGAGAAUAAGCCCCGGCAAACUUCGUGCCAGCAGCCGCGGUAAUACGAAGGGGGCUAGCGUUGUUCGGAAUUACUGGGCGUAAAGCGCACGUAGGCGGGUCGUUAAGUCAGGGGUGAAAUCCCGGAGCUCAACUCCGGAACUGCCUUUGAUACUGGCGAUCUUGAGAUCGGAAGAGGUGAGUGGAAUUCCCAGUGUAGAGGUGAAAUUCGUAGAUAUUGGGAAGAACACCAGUGGCGAAGGCGGCUCACUGGUCCGAUACUGACGCUGAGGUGCGAAAGCGUGGGGAGCAAACAGGAUUAGAUACCCGAGUAGUC